UACGGAAGGCAGCAGUGGGGAAUAUUGCACAAUGGGCGAAAGCCUGAUGCAGCUAUGCCGCGUGUAUGAAGAAGGCCUUAGGGUUGUAAAGUACUUUCAUCGGGGAGGAAAAAACAAAACUAAUAAUUUUAUUUCUUGACGUUACCCGAAAAAGAAGCACCGGCUAACUCCGUGCCAGCAGCCGCGGUAAUACGGAGGGUGCUAGCGUUAAUCAGAAUUACUGGGCGUAAAGAGCACGUAGGUGGUUUUUUUAAGUCAGAUGUGAAUCCCUGGGCUUAACCUAGGAACUGCAUUUUGAAACUGAAAUACUAGAGUAUCGUAGAGGGAGGUAGAAUUCUAGGUGUAGCGGUGAAAUGCGUAGAUAUCUGGAGGAAUACCUGUGGCGAAAGCGGCCUCCUAAACGAAUACUGACACUGAGGUGCGAAAAGCGUGGGGAGCAAACAGGGAUUAGAUACC
rnacentral:rRNA from 1 species